UGGGGAAUAUUGCGCAAUGGGCGAAAGCCUGACGCAGCAACGCCGCGUGAGUGAUGAAGGCCUUCGGGUCGUAAAGCUCUGUCGGAGGGAACGAAUGCUCCUGAAGUUAACAGCCUCAGGAGGUGGCGGUACCCUCAAAGGAAGCACCGGCUAACUCUGUGCCAGCAGCCGCGGUAAUACAGAGGGUGCAAGCGUUGUUCGGAUUUACUGGGCGUAAAGCGCGUGUAGGCGGGUCGUUAAGUUGGGGGUGAAAUCCCGAGGCUCAACCUCGGAACUGCCUUCAAAACUGGCGACCUGGACUCAAGUAGAGGCAAGUGGAAUUGCGAGUGUAGAGGUGAAAUUCGUAGAUAUUCGCAGGAACACCAGUGGCGAAGGCGACUUGCUGGACUUGUAGUGACGCUGAGACGCGAAAGCGUGGGGAGCGAAACAGGAUUAGAUACCCUGGUAGUCCCUGAGCGGGCUGGCAAGGCGCAU
rnacentral:rRNA from 1 species